rnacentral:misc_RNA from 1 species
AAAUGCGAUAAGUAAUGUGAAUUGCAGAAUUCCGUGAAUCAUCGAAUCUUUGAACGCACAUUGCGCCCUCUGGCAUUCCGGGGGGUAUGCCUGUCCGAGCGUCAUUACGCACCCUCAAGCCCGGCUUGUGUGAUGGGCCCCGGCGUCUCGUUCGCGAGACGGGCCCGAAAGGCAGCGGCGGCGUCGACCCGAUGAGCCCGAGCGUAUGGGGACUUCUGUCACACGUUCGCGGUGCGGACCGGCGCCUGCUUGACUUUUCUGAUUAUCCAGGUUGACCUCGGAUCAGGUAGGGAUACCCGCUGAACUUAAGC